rnacentral:rRNA from 1 species
AGUCAAUAGAUACCCAGGUAGUCCACGCCGUAAACGAUGUCGACUUGGAGGUUGUGCCCUUGAGGCGUGGCUUCCGGAGCUAAACGCGUUAAGUCGACCGCCUGGGGAGUACGGCCGCAAGGUUAAAACUCAAAUGAAUUGACGGGGGCCCGCACAAGCGGUGGAGCAUGUGGUUUAAUUCGAUGCAACGCGAAGAACCUUACCUACUCUUGACAUCCAGAGAACUUAGCAGAGAUGCUUUGGUGCCUUCGGGAACUCUGAGACAGGUGCUGCAUAGCUGUCGUCAGCUCGUGUUGUGAAAUGUUGGGUUAAGUCCCGCAACGAGCGCAACCCUUAUCCUUUGUUGCCAGCGGUUAGGCCGGGAACUCAAAGGAGACUGCCAGUGAUAAACUGGAGGAAGGUGGGGAUGACGUCAAGUCAUCAUGGCCCUUACGAGUAGGGCUACACACGUGCUACAAUGGCGCAUACAAAGAGAAGCGACCUCGCGAGAGCAAGCGGACCUCAUAAAGUGCGUCGUAGUCC